rnacentral:rRNA from 1 species
GGUUAAGCGAAUAAGCGUACACGGUGGAUGCCUAGGCAAUCAGAGGCGAUGAAGGACGUGCUAAUCUGCGAAAAGCGUCGGUAAGGUGAUAUGAACCGUUAUACCCGACGAUAUCCGAAUGGGGAAACCCAGUAUCCAAUGGAUACUAUCAUUAACUGAAUCCAUAGGUUAAUGAGGCGAACCGGGAGAACUGAAACAUCUCAGUACCCCGAGGAAAAGAAAUCAACCGAGAUUCCCCUAGUAGCGGCGAGCGAACGGGGAGCAGCCCAGAGUCUUAAUCAAUAGCAGUGUCAGGAGAACGGUCUGGAAAGUCCGGCAGUAAAGGGUGAUAGCCCCGUAUCUGAAGAUGCUGUUAUUGUGAACUCGACGAGUAGGGCGGGACACGUGUUAUCCUGUCUGAAUAUGGGGGGACCAUCCUCCAAGGCUAAAUACUCCUGAUUGACCGAUAGUGAACCAGUACCGUGAGGGAAAGGCGAAAAGAACCCCGGCGAGGGGAGUGAAAAAGAACCUGAAACCGUGUACGUACAAGCAGUAGGAGCCUCUUUAUGGGGUGACUGCGUACCUUUUGUAUAAUGGGUCAGCGACUUAUAUUCUGUAGCGAGGUUAACCGUAUAGGGGAGCCGUAGGGAAACCGAGUCUUAACUGGGCGAAUGAGUUGCAGGGUAUAGACCCGAAACCCGGUGAUCUAUCCAUGGGCAGGUUGAAGGUUGGGUAACACUAACUGGAGGACCGAACCGACUAAUGUUGAAAAAUUAGCGGAUGACUUGUGGAUGGGGGUGAAAGGCCAAUCAAACCGGGAGAUAGCUGGUUCUCCCCGAAAGCUAUUUAGGUAGCGCCUCGUGAACUCAUCUUCGGGGGUAGAGCACUGUUUCGACUAGGGGGUCAUCCCGACUUACCAACUCGAUGCAAACUGCGAAUACCGAAGAAUGUUAUCACGGGAGACACACGGCGGGUGCUAACGUCCGUCGUGAAGAGGGAAACAACCCAGACCGCCAGCUAAGGUCCCAAAGUCAUGGUUAAGUGGGAAACGAAGUGGGAAGGCUCAGACAGCCAGGAUGUUGGCUUAGAAGCAGCCAUCAUUUAAAGAAAGCGUAAUAGCUCACUGGUCGAGUCGGCCCGCGCGGAAGAUGUAACGGGGCUAAACCAUGCACCGAAGCUGCGGCAGCGACACAAAGUGUUGUUGGGUAGGGGAGCGUUCUGUAAGCCUGCGAAGGUGUACUGUGAGGUAUGCUGGAGGUAUCAGAAGUGCGAAUGCUGACAUAAGUAACGAUAAUGCGGGUGAAAAACCCGCACGCCGGAAGACCAAGGGUUCCUGUCCAACGUUAAUCGGGGCAGGGUGAGUCGACCCCUAAGGCGAGGCUGAAAAGCGUAGUCGAUGGGAAACGGGUUAAUAUUCCCGUACUGGUGGUAACUGCGAUGGGGGAACGGAGAAGGCUAGGUUGUCCGGGCGACGGUCGUCCCGGUUCAAGCAGGUAGGCAGAGUGAUUAGGCAAAUCCGGUCACUUAAUGCUGAGAUGUGAUGACGAACCACCAAGGUGGUGAAGCAAUUGAUGCCCCGCUUCCAGGAAAAGCCUCUAAGCUUCAGGUUACCAACAAUCGUACCCCAAACCGACACAGGUGGUCAGGUAGAGAAUACUCAGGCGCUUGAGAGAACUCGGGUGAAGGAACUAGGCAAAAUGGUGCCGUAACUUCGGGAGAAGGCACGCUGGCGGUAGGUAAAGUCCCUCGCGGACGGCGCUGAAGCCAGUCGAAGAUACCAGCUGGCUGCAACUGUUUAUUAAAAACACAGCACUGUGCAAACACGAAAGUGGACGUAUACGGUGUGACGCCUGCCCGGUGCUGGAAGGUUAAUUGAUGGGGUCAGCCGCAAGGCGAAGCUCCUGAUCGAAGCCCCAGUAAACGGCGGCCGUAACUAUAACGGUCCUAAGGUAGCGAAAUUCCUUGUCGGGUAAGUUCCGACCUGCACGAAUGGCGUAAUGAUGGCCAGGCUGUCUCCACCCGAGACUCAGUGAAAUUGAACUCGCUGUGAAGAUGCAGUGUACCCGCGGCAAGACGGAAAGACCCCGUGAACCUUUACUAUAGCUUGACACUGAACAUUGAGCCUUGAUGUGUAGGAUAGGUGGGAGGCUUUGAAGUGUGGACGCCAGUCUGCAUGGAGCCAACCUUGAAAUACCACCCUUUAACGUUUGAUGUUCUAACCUAGGCCCAUAAACUGGGUCGGGGACCGUGUCUGGUGGGUAGUUUGACUGGGGCGGUCUCCUCCUAAAGAGUAACGGAGGAGCACGAAGGUUGGCUAAGCAUGGUCGGACAUCAUGCGGUUAGUGCAAAGGCAUAAGCCAGCUUGACUGCGAGAGUGACGGCUCGAGCAGGUACGAAAGUAGGUCUUAGUGAUCCGGUGGUUCUGAAUGGAAGGGCCAUCGCUCAACGGAUAAAAGGUACUCCGGGGAUAACAGGCUGAUACCGCCCAAGAGUUCAUAUCGACGGCGGUGUUUGGCACCUCGAUGUCGGCUCAUCACAUCCUGGGGCUGAAGUAGGUCCCAAGGGUAUGGCUGUUCGCCAUUUAAAGUGGUACGCGAGCUGGGUUUAGAACGUCGUGAGACAGUUCGGUCCCUAUCUGCCGUGGGCGUUGGAAGAUUGAGAGGGGUUGCUCCUAGUACGAGAGGACCGGAGUGAACGCACCACUGGUGUUCGGGUUGUCAUGCCAAUGGCAUUGCCCGGUAGCUAAGUGCGGAAGAGAUAACCGCUGAAAGCAUCUAAGCGGGAAACUUGCCUCGAGAUGAGUCUUCCCUGUCGCUUUAAGCGACCUAAAGGAACGUUUAAGACUAAGACGUUGAUAGGCUGGGUGUGUAAGCGUAGCGAUACGUUGAGCUAACCAGUACUAAUGAACCGUGAGGCUUAACCUG